AUGAACUGGAGGACAGACCAGCCUGGGGGAGGAGCGAACACAGGGAUUCUCAGAGGUGGCCUCCUUCUGCACUUUGUCCCCUUCGUCACGCUCUGGUCACCUGCUGUGGUAUCUGUGCAACGAUCCUGUCCGGUCCCGGGGCCUCUGUGGUGUGAUCGACAGAGGCCCGUCCAGCUACAAACGCCAUACAAUAGAAAGGGGACGGAGUGGGGACAGAGGAAGCGUUUCCAAAGCAUCGCCAGGAGACCAAUGCUUGAUGCUGUCUCCUUCCAAAAUCCAUUGAAUGGCCCUGUGCAUGGCUUGGAGCUCGCCAAGGAUCUCGGGGGCUAUGUCCGCAGACGUCUAGUGCUUCCGCUUUCUGUUCCCCCUCACCGGUGCCCGGCCACCCCAUCCAGCCAUCUUAAGAACCUCAGCGAGGAUUUCCUCUGCCCAGUGACACUGCUGUUUCCUUCCCAGGCCCUCUCCCCCCACACCAGGAAGCUGCUGUGAAGGUGGGACUCACCUCCCGUGCUUCCUCUCUCACCAGGAUUGCAGCCUUGUAUCGGAUGUGUCCCACGGCCUUAAAGAGCUGUUUUUCCUAUUUUGUCCAGUCACCCACCGGCUUCCCCAUCGUGGCCAAACUGGACUUUCCUCGGCUACCUCCUCCUGAGGGGAACGGCUGAGUCCGACCACUGCUCAGUGACCGCCCCAGCACGGCCCCGGCACACGACGCGUGGCCCGGUAGCGUGAGCCGUGCUGCACGCAGCUGACCUGAGAGGAGCCCGGGGCAGGCGUCCUGCUCGCAGGGCACGGCCAACGGGCAGGCGGAACGUGCCUCCGGAAAGCCUUCUGCCCUGUGGCCUCUGUCACGUGACUGUGGUGGACCUAACCACGUUUCUUAACAAGAGCGGCUGCUGGAUGAACUGUGGAUUUGCGCAAGUUUGGAUCUGAAGACUGUCCAGACCCUCCUCUGCGCUGCCCUCUUGAGGCGUCACCUGGCGAACGUACAGAUUUCUCGGGGCAAAGGGCUGCCGAAAAGUGACCAGAAGUGCUGGCCAAGCUAGAAAACAGGGUAUCCUGUGAAGGCAGGGUGCGUGGCGUUUCGGUACGGCCACACCCCGCCGUGGGUGAGGGCCACCAGAGAGGUGUGGCGCCAUCACACGUGGAACCGAACCCCCUCGAACAGAUAGGGUAAAGUCCUAGCCUCCAGAACCUCAGAACGUGGCCUUAUUUGGAAACAGGGUCAUCGCAAGUGUGGUCUGUGAAGGUAAGUAGGGAGCAUGUUGGAGUGGGGGUGAGUCCGUCGCCCAGUGACCAGGGCACUCGGGAGGAGAGAGAGACAGGAAGCUCAGUAGUGGGGGUGGAAGGGUAUACCUGCCAGCCAAGGGGCCAGGGACUCCUGGCAAACUCUGGACAUGAGGAGAGGUGAGGAAGGAUGCUUCCCUGCAGGCUUCAGGGGAACGUGGCUCUGGUGACACGUUCAUUGCUAAUGUCUGGCCUCCAGAACCGU
rnacentral:lncRNA from 1 species